rnacentral:rRNA from 1 species
UACGGGGGGAGCAAGCGUUGUUCGGAUUUACUGGGCGUAAAGAGCUCGUAGGCGGUCUGUCGCGUCGGAUGUGAAAACCCAGGGCUCAACCCUGGGCCUGCAUUCGAUACGGGCAGACUAGAGUUCGGUAGGGGAGACUGGAAUUCCUGGUGUAGCGGUGAAAUGUGUAGAGAUCGGGAGGAACACCGGUGGCGAAGGCGGCCCACUGGAUCGGUACUGACGCUGAGGUGCGAAAGCGUGGGGAGCAAACAGG